GGCUGGGGAGGUGACUUGCAUUUUCGGCCUUAGAAAUGCUGCGGGCAUGCACGUGUGGGGUUUUCAUAUAAGCCAUGGGAGGGGCGAGUGCCCAGCCCUCCUCACGCUGGUGGUAGAACCCAGGGCUUUGGCCUCCUUUUGGCAUAGUGGUCUAUGAAGCUGUAUUUCUGGUGGAGGGAUGAGCCUCCUCACGGUCAUCUUGCAGUUCUUGAAAGGGUAGUUGUCAGCCACUCUAUCAAUGAGGUUUUAUAUGGCCUCCCAUGAACAACGAGAGGUGUGCCAUGGCCGACGGUGUCCUGGCAGGGCUGGAGAAGGGAUUGUCUCAUGUGUCCUUCUGCAGGCACCAGGUUGUCCCCCUGGUCUCUAACCCCCAGCCAGCUGUCUAGUCCAGUGUUUCUUUUCUGGAUUCAGGAAGUAAGUGGGGUGUGUGUGUGUGUGUGUGGGGUGUGUGUGUGUAUGUGGUGUGUGUGGUAUAUGUGUGUGGUGUGCAUGUCUGUGUGUGGUGUGCAUGUCUGGUGUGUGUGUGUGUUGUGUGUGGUGUGUGUAUCUGUGUGUGGUGUGUCUGGGUGGUGUGUGUGGUGUGGUGUGUGUAUUGUGUGUGGUAUGUGUUGUGCGUAUUGUGUGGUGUGUUGUGUGUGGUGUGUCUAUUGUGUGGUUGUGUAUGUGUGUGGGGUGUGUGUGGUAUGGUGUGUGUGUAUCUGUGGUGUGCGUGUAUGUGUGAUGUGUCUGGUGUGUGUGUGUGUGAUGCAGUGUGUGUGGUGUGUUGAGUGUGGUUUGGUGUGUGUAUGUUGCGUGUGGUGUAUGCUUGUGGUGUGUCUGGUGUGUUUGGUGUGUGUGUGUUUGGUGUGUGUGGUGUGUCUGGUGUGUUUGGUGUGGUACAUGGACUGUGUGUGGUGUGUGUGUGUGCUAUGUGUUUUGUGUAUUGUAUGUGGUGUGUUAUUGUGUGUGGUAUGUGUGUAUUGUGUGUGGGUGUGGUGUGUGGUAUGGUGUGUGUAUGUCUGGUGUGUGUGUGUGUGUGAUGUGUCUGGUGUGCAUGUGUGUGAUGCGGUGUGCAUGUGUGUGAUGUGUGUGUGUGUUGUGUGGUUUGGUGUGUGUUGUGUGUGGUGUGUUGUGUGUGUGUUGUGUGUGUGUGUGGUGCGUGUGUGGUGCGUGUGUGGUGCGUGUGUGGUGUGUGUGUGUUUGUGUGUGUGGUGUGGUGUGUCUGUUGUGUGUGGUGUGUGUGAGAGAGAUUUGUACAGACAUGCUGAUUUGCCUGCGUAGUGUCAGGCCCAGGAGACCCUCCUUUGUUUGGCUCUUUUGCUAGACAACUUCUGUUUGGGUAGGAGGGUCAAAUUAGUAAUGCACCAUCUUUAAUGUAUUUUUUAUGGAGACUGUACAUAAAAUUAUAUAAAUCUACAGAAUUGGUUCUAUUUUAAGGAGAGAGGGGAAUGUAUGUGGGAGGCAAGGAUCAGAUGCAAUCGUGGAGACUGGGAGCUUCGGGCGAGUGGCACUCGGGUGUGGGGAGCGGGAGGGCAAGAGAUGAGUGCCGGGCAAGAUGGGCAGGGGCCCGUGCCCUCUGCACACAUAUAUAAAUAUAAAGAACACCUAGAUAAAGUCUAUAUAUCUCUAUAUCUAUAUGAAGUCAUAGUUUGCUUUAUUUUUGUACCUGUGCUUAGAGAUGUUUUGAGCAGUGCUACCUUCCCAGGCAGUCUGGGAUACUAGCUCAUGCCUUGACGCCACCUCCUUCCCUGCUCUUCCUUUGGUAUUCUCUCUGUUCAGAGUUGCUUGGGUCUUUCUGAUGGAAAUGUGUAUAUAUGAAAAGUUUGUAAAAUAACAAAACAAAUAACCCACCUGCAGGAAGGACAAGUGAGCUGAAGGUUGUGUGGAGCUGCAGGAUCUGAUAGCCCUAAAGAACCAGGACCAAUGUGUCUCUUGCCACUUGGGAGGGAUGUUGACUUGAACUUCUUUGCAGAGGGGCUUAACAGGGCAAGGCUGAGGAGAUGAAAACUGUGACUCCAUCCCCACGUGGCUGUGGAAAGGUAACCAGUUCCUCAGAGAAAACCUGGCUUCACAGCAUUAGAAAGGGGGUGGUUGAGACUACCUAGGGACCUACGGUGACACCUGUCUUGGUUUGUAGCACUGUAGCUCAGACAGCUCAGACCGCUCAUAGAGGGCAUGGCAAUGGGAGAGUUUGUGAGGCUGGCUGCCUGGGCUUGGUCUUGGAGAACACAUGGCCUGUUUAGUGUUGCUGCAGAUUCUUAGAGCCAGUGUGAAUGUGGUAUGUAGUAUAAAUAUGUCAUCUAUGUUUUUUUCAGUUAUUUUUAAUUGGAAAUAAAGUGCCAUUGCAAAUAGGAUGCUCCAAUCCUGGGACACUGAGUGGAGGAUGAGGAGGGAGAGAUGAACUGUGGGCCGGCCUGGGAGAGGGGGUCUUAGUGGAACCUUCCUUCUGGCCUCCAGCCGGGGACUUACAAAACUGAACAAUGUAUUGGCAGAACUGGACCCACAAUGGGAGAUUCUGGGGAGCAGGAGUUCACUUGUAUCUGAGCAGGAAGCAGUGUGCCCUGAAGAAUACCUCUCUGAGCAAAUUCCAGACCUCACACAUAUGCAAGGGCUCUGCCUUGCAGCCUCAGCAAGCGUCUCCUGGUGCUAGCUCCUUCCUGACUUGCCCGGAGCUCGGAGUGAUGUAUUUGAAGCUGGUGCUGGGCCAGAUGGUGCAGGCAGUGAGGAGAGACUCAGGACUGCAACCUUUCGGCUCCUUAUUCCUGCUCAUCACUCAGAAAAGGGCAGUACUAACCCCUUUCCUAACCAAGACAUGGCACUCCCUAAGAGCUCUUGUCUAUAGAGUUUGGUCCUUAGAGGAAAGCAGAUACCUUCAGCGUGAGAAGGGCUUGGUUGACAGUUUUGGGGUAUUAUGGGAAGAGUAGGUUGGGGUAAAGCUUGAGUCUAACUCUUGAUCCUUACAUGGACCUAUGAGGCCCUGCCAUUCAGUCAGGCACUGUCCUUGGGUCCUCAAAUUAACUGCUGAGAACACUCCCCACUUUCCGAGGACGCUGAUGGGAAAUGGGCUCUGUCCAUGCAGCUGGAAGGAUCCAGUGCUGGUGCCACUGUCAGUGGCACCAUCCUUGCCUUGAAUGAUCUUUCUUGCAGGCUCCUGCAGCUGAGUGUUUCUUGUAAGAUUUUUCAGGGGGAUUGGGCAAGAAGAAGAGGUGCAAAUUCUGUUCCCUUCCUACCUUGAAGCCUUCCCAGACCACCACGGUCUCUGCACAAGGGAGGCUCCCAUUACUGUUCUGUUGGCUUCUAGACCCACCAUCCCCUCUCUUUCUGUGGACUCUGCCCGACUUCUGGCCACAUGCAACCAGCAGAGUAAACUGCUCCAACACCUCGGGCAUGUCCUAGGGCUUGCCCUCCCACCAGGGCCAGCCCAAGAUUAGGUCCUCAGCAGCAUCAAGGUCUGGGAGAGCCACUGGCCCACAUGUCACCAUUCUAUUCCUCAGCCUCCAACAGGACUCUUCAUUUUGGGGAGGGAAAGGGAAGAUGGGGCCAUAGCCCCUACCUUGAAAUUGUACAGUGUGGAGGGGAUGUUAGUGCCUACCUGUGACCUUUCUGCUCCACUGCUCAGCAAGAUGAGGUAAGGUUGGGUGUCAGAGGGGACCUCCAGCUUCUCUGAAGAGCCAGCCCUUAAGGCACUUGGAGCAAAGGUCAUUGAGAUCAGCUUUAUGUGGAGUAAGGAGGAGGCCUGGGAACCGCUUGUGGCAUCAGUUGGGGCGACAGGUGGAUGAGUGUGCUCUGAUGGAGCUUUUACGGCCCACAGCCACUGCCAGGAGCCUGAGCUCUUCCCCAUGCUUGGGACACGUUCCUUGGUCCCCACAGCAGAAUGGACAUUGAAUUUUGGUGCUUUUCCCUUUGGUAGAAGGUGGAGGUAUCUGAGGAGUUGUUUCUGUCUUGCUACCUCUGUCUACUAUAUAGAGCAAGAGUCGGGAAUAGGGAGAUGUGUGAGAAUCACUCUCCCAUGGAUCAGUGUGGGCCCUGUCCCUCUUCCCCACUGUCACCAACCAGCAGCUUGGGGAAAAGGCUCUGUCGUGGAUUUUUGCUGCCUGCUUCCCGCUUCCACUCUUCUUGGCGGUAGAUGUUCAUGGUGAUCCACUUUGGGCGGUCUGAAAGUAGGAGGUGGGGGAAGAGGCAAGCCUGCACACACACUUCCUGUCCACAGGGGGUUGCCUGUGGCAUUGGAGGGUGGAGUCUCAGAGUCCAGGGACUGGGAGGAAGGUACUUGAUGGGAUGGUCUUGAUUCUGGAACUUUAGACUGAGGUGUUAGAAAGGGGAAUUGUUGGCUAGGGGAGAAGAGCAGUUUAACGCUCCACUUGCUAAGUCGUCUGUAUCAGUGUCAGAAGGUCUUGACCUCCCAUUCAGAUUUAAUUUCCUAACUGCCAGGUGUGGGGCUGGGGAUAGAGGGCCCAGAAGGGGGCGCAGUCACUGACGUGAAGGGACCACAUCCCGCUUCAUGUCAGUGACUCCUGCCCCUUGGUCUUCAGUGUUUUUCUCUUCCCCAGGAGGGACUUUGAUCAUGCAGGAUAGAAUUCUCCCAUCGCACACCUGGGGGCAAGUUUUAGAUGAGCUUCUUUCCUCCAUUUCACCUGGUGGUCUGAGGACACACAGAGGGUGGGGGUGAGCAGGCAGUGUGGGUGGGGAGGGGCUACCUCCCCCAGACCCCUUACAAACUCUGUACCUCUCGGUGCGCGGCAGCCUCUUGCUGUAGUUCUUCUUUUCUGGAUAUGACUGUCAGUUUCGUCAUGAGAUUUCUUGCUCUCAUUUCGAACUCUUUCUUUCUUCCACUUUCUUUGGGGGCGACCCCCGAUCCAUGCCAGGUCUUCCUGUGAAGACCGUUCCAACCUCGUUUCCAUUUCUUGAAUGUUGAGUAUUACAACAUCACUGCGCUAGGGUGCUUCAUGGUGCUGUUCUCGAAGAGGCCAGUUGGGCUGAAUCUCCUUCCUCCCACUGGCUCCUGAUAUCUUGCUGUAUUUUGUCUUCUUUCUGAUUUUUCCCUAGGGGUUUGGGGUGGGUGACUUAGGGGCGGCUUUUGUGUUCUCCCUCUCUCUCUCUUUCUUUUCUGUAUGUAUGUAUGGACUGGUUAAAGUGAGUUUGGGCAGCUGACUUUAUGGUAUGGGUUGGCUGACUUUUGUUCAACAUUAAAGACAAACCAACAAAUUGUACAGCUGCACACAGAACACCUUUGAGUGUGAACUUGAAUGGCAACUAGAGGCUUACUUUUUGAACUUCAGGUAUGUAACUCAAAAGUAAAUAAAACCACUAUUUUUUCAGUAAGCUUUUUUUUCUUCUAAAAGAUGACUUAGAAAUCAAACUAUAAGAACAUGAAAUCGGUGCUGUACCAAAGCCUUAUAUGAACAUAUUCUACACUCUGUAUAACCUGUCUGUGAGGAGCUCCCUGCUCUAUCACCCUCUUCUCAAAAGCCUGGGAAUGCCAGCGCGUGCCAAGCCUGGGGCUGGGUCUUGGGGACCUGUGGGCCAAGGGCACCCUGGGAAGUAAAAGAUGACGGUGAGGAUGGGACACCCUUCUGCUGCCUGAGCAGACUGCAAGGAAACCAGAUGUGUGUGUGUGCGCGCACCUGCAUAUAUAUGUGUGCAUACCUGUGCGUGUGUGUGCGUGUGCGUGUGUGCACGCAAGAGAGUGAGAGCGGGAGAGAGCUCACAGGUGCACAGUGUCAUGGUGAAUGUACUAAGUACGAGCUUGAAGGGAGGCCCAGGUUGGCUCUGGGAGUGGGGCGGUGUGGGAAUGAAGGGGGGAUGCUCUCUCCCCUGUUUUCUGCCUCCUUCCCUUCUCCGUCAGGGAAGGGAGGUGUAUUGGAAACAGCUACACUCUCAAUCAGGUGCUUUUUUUCCCUCAAAAUCUCCAAACUCAAAGCAUUUAUAAGGGGCCCUUCCAAUGGGCAGGCACCCCCAGCCACCAAAUCACAGACUUCCAAGAGUAGGAGGAACUGUCUCCUCCCGAACCCUUCCUUGCUUUCCUGGGGAAGAGGGUUCUUCCUGCAGGGACCCUGGGCAUCCUGCUGCUGGGCCUGGGCCUAUAGACUGCCCUGCCCCUUCUUCCCAAACACUGAGAAGACCCCGCUGGAGAUGACCCCAAAGCCACGCCUGCUCUACGGCCCUAAGCAAUAGACGCCUGCCCUGGCUGCUGAUGAUGGUGAUCCCUUUGUCCUUUGACUUGGCAGUCAAAAAUGGAGUGACACCCCAGACUCAGUCAGGAAGAGAACCUGCAGCCUGCCUCAGCUCAGGCUACCACGCCAGGCUCCACUCGCUGGUAUUUCCAGGCUUGCUAAGUACUAACCAACUCAUCCCCAGUAACACUGCAUGUUCAUAUCCUGAAUUACAAAUCAAAAUGAGCAAACACGUGCAUAAGCAAAUGAGAAAAAAGAAGGCACACAUCAAAUGAUGAGAUGUGCAGCCAGUGCAGGUACCCCGGGAGUGUUGCAAGUUAAACUGAUGAAAAGACGUUUAGUAUUUAAUUGCUCCUCAUGUAACAUUACUCUGCUUCAGAAAUGUUUUGUAUUUUGAUAUAAAUAAACAUUUGCUAAAAAAGUUCAU
rnacentral:lncRNA from 1 species